rnacentral:rRNA from 1 species
CGGUGUUUAACUGGCGUGAUGUGGGACGUCCUACCGGUGGGCUUAGCCUCGCGAGGGGCGGCCCAACUAAUAUCCCGUCGCGGUGCUCUUUACUGAGUGUCGAGUCGGGCCGGUACGUUUACUUUGAACAAAUUAGAGUGCUUAAAGCAGGCUAUCCUCGCCUGAAUACUGCGUGCAUGGAAUAAUGGAAUAGGACCUCGGUUCUAUUUUGUUGGUUUUCGGAACCCCGAGGUAAUGAUUAAUAGGGACAGAUGGGGGCAUUCGUAUUGCGACGUUAGAGGUGAAAUUCUUGGAUCGUCGCAAGACGGACAGAAGCGAAAGCAUUUGCCAAAAAUGUUUUCAUUAAUUAAGAACGAAAGUUAGAGGUUCGAAGGCGAUCAGAUACCGCCCUAGUUCUAACCAUAAACGAUGCCAGCUAGCGAUCCGCCGAAGUUCCUCCGAUGACUCGGCGGGCAGCUUCCGGGAAACCAAAGCUUUUGGGUUCCGGGGGAAGUAUGGUUGCAAAGCUGAAACUUAAAGGAAUUGACGGAAGGGCACCACCAGGAGUGGAGCCUGCGGCUUAAUUUGACUCAACACGGGAAACCUCACCAGGCCCAGACACCGGAAGGAUUGACAGAUUGAUAGCUCUUUCUUGAUUCGGUGGGUGGUGGUGCAUGGCCGUUCUUAGUUGGUGGAGCGAUUUGUCUGGUUAAUUCCGAUAACGAACGAGACUCUAGCCUGCUAAAUAGGCGUACCUUAUGGUAUCGCGAAGGCCCCCGGCUUCGGCCGGUGGGUUUUUACUACCAACGUACAAACAAAUCUUCUUAGAGGGACAGGCGG